UAAUACGGAGGUGGCAAGCGUUGUUCGGAUUGAUUGGGUGUAAAGGGCAUGUAGGCGUCCUGGUAAGUUGAACGUGAAAUCCCGUAGCUCAACUACGGAAUUGCAUUCAAAACUGCCGGGAUUGAGUACGGAAGGGGAGAAUGGAAUUCCCGGUGUAAGGGUGAAAUCUGUAGAUAUCGGGAGGAACACCAGUAGCGAAGGCGGUUCUCUGGGCCGAUACUGACGCUGAAAUGCGAAAGCUAGAGGAGCAAACAGGAUUAGAUACCCUGGUAGUUCUAGCCGUAAACGAUGGGCACUAGGUGUAGGCUCGCAAGAGUCUGUGCCGCAGUUAACGCGUUAAGUGCCCCACCUGGGGAGUACGUCGGCAACGAUG
rnacentral:rRNA from 1 species